rfam:Firmicutes bacterium CAG:308 genomic scaffold, scf6
UUCAAAGUAGCUCAAUGGUAGAGCACAUAAUUGAUAAUUAUGUGGUUUAAGGUUCGAUUCCUUACUUUGAAU